CAUACUUGCAAGUCUCAAAUAAAAAUGUCUAUACUAAUAGAUGGUGUUAGAAACAACAGCAAAUAAGGUCAUACGGGAAAGAUUAUGGAAACCCCAAACUUACCUUUUGCAAGAGUAAAUCAAAUACCUAAUCCUUUGAAGAUUGCUCAAGAUUGAUUUGGGAAGGUGGAAAAAAUAGAAGAUUAUACAUCUCUAUCAGAGCUAUUGGCUUACUUUUUAAAUUUUCAUCAAGGAAAUGCUUCAGGGAGCAGAGAUUCAAAAGGAAAGAUACAGGUACAU